GGAGGAAAAGAACUAACAAGGAUUCCCCUAGUAACUGCGAGUGAAGCGGGAAAAGCUCAAAUUUAAAAUCUGGCGGUCUCUGGCCGUCCGAGUUGUAAUCUAGAGAAGUGAUGCCCGCGCUGGACCGUGUACAAGUCUCCUGGAAUGGAGCGUCAUAGAGGGUGAGAAUCCCGUCUCUGACACGGACUACCAGGGCUUUGUGGUACGCUCUCAAAGAGUCGAGUUGUUUGGGAAUGCAGCUCAAAAUGGGUGGUAAAUUCCAUCUAAAGCUAAAUAUUGGCGAGAGACCGAUAGCGAACAAGUACCGUGAGGGAAAGAUGAAAAGAACUUUGGAAAGAGAGUUAAACAGUACGUGAAAUUGCUGAAAGGGAAACGCUUGAAGUCAGUCGCGUCGGCCGGGGAUCAGCCUCGCUUUUGCGUGGUGUACUUUCCGGUUGAUGGGUCAGCAUCAAUUUUGACCGCUGGAAAAAGGCUUGGGGAAUGUGGCAGCUCCGGCUGUGUUAUAGCUCCUUGUCAUAUACAGUGGUUGGGAUUGAGGAACUCAGCACGCCGCAAGGCCGGGUUUCGACCACGUUCGUGCUUAGGAUGCUGGCAUAAUGGCUUUA
rnacentral:rRNA from 2 species